rnacentral:rRNA from 1 species
GACGAACGCUGGCGGCGUGCUUAACACAUGCAAGUCGAACGGAAAGGCCCUGCUUUUGUGGGGUGCUCGAGUGGCGAACGGGUGAGUAACACGUGAGUAACCUGCCCUUGACUUUGGGAUAACUUCAGGAAACUGGGGCUAAUACCGGAUAGGAGCUCCUGCUGCAUGGUGGGGGUUGGAAAGUUUCGGCGGUUGGGGAUGGACUCGCGGCUUAUCAGCUUGUUGGUGGGGUAGUGGCUUACCAAGGCUUUGACGGGUAGCCGGCCUGAGAGGGUGACCGGCCACAUUGGGACUGAGAUACGGCACAGACUCCUACGGGAGGCAGCAGUGGGGAAUAGUGCACAAUGGGCGGAAGCCUGAUGCAGCAACGCCGCGUGCGGGAUGACGGCCUUCGGGUUGUAAACCGCUUUCGCCUGUGACGAAGCGUGAGUGACGGUAAUGGGUAAAGAAGCACCGGCUAACUACGUG